rnacentral:rRNA from 1 species
AUUGAACGCUGGCGGCAUGCCUUACACAUGCAAGUCGAACGGCAGCACGGGAGCAAUCCUGGUGGCGAGUGGCGAACGGGUGAGUAAUACAUCGGAACGUGCCCAACCGUGGGGAUAACGUAGCGAAAGCUACGCUAAUACCGCAUACGAUCUACGGAUGAAAGCGGGGGAGCGCAAGACCUCGCGCGAAUGGAGCGGCCGAUGGCAGAUGAGGUAGUUGGUGGGGUAAAGGCUCACCAAGCCUGCGAUCUGUAGCUGGUCUGAGAGGACGACCAGCCACACUGGGACUGAGACACGGCCCAGACUCCUACGGGAGGCAGCAGUGGGGAAUUUUGGACAAUGGGCGCAAGCCUGAUCCAGCAAUGCCGCGUGCAGGAUGAAGGCCUUCGGGUUGUAAACUGCUUUUGUACGGAACGAAACGGUCCUUUCUAAUACAAGGGGCUAAUGACGGUACCGUAAGAAUAAGCACCGGCUAACUACGUGCCAGCAGCCGCAGUAA